CCCUGACUCGCAGGGACGUUCCAUGUCCAAUGCUAUUUUCUAUUCAGGAUUAUGAUGGGGAUCUGAUGUCUCCUAUAUGUGCUUUCCGGACUGAUGCUUCAGAAUCAGUCAGAGGACUGAGGAGUGGUACUCCUUUAUCAGUGAAAUACCAGCCUCACAUGGAGGAGUAUGCUGAUUUUUUUGCUUUCGAUGAAAUGUCAUGGGAAGGUUCUUCCAUCGACAUGACCGACUUGGAAACUAACCAUACAGAUGAUCCUCUGGUACAGCUGAUUUCCCUCCAAAAGGCAGACGGUUCCUGGGAUCUGAAUGAAGGUCUGGCCGCGGUCCUGGGUAUGAGCUUGGGAGAUAUACAGGCUGCACUCCCUGACAAGGUGAGCCUCGGGGAAGAAAAAGGGGUUUGUCUAUUUUUGAGAAGUUGGGAUCAGUAAAGAGACUUGGGUGAAUCAUGACUCAUCUGAGGAAGCGGAAUAUAGGAGGUCAUACACUAAAUAUCUCUAAUAGAGGUUGAAGGUGUUUCCUGGGUAGGUCAGAACAGAAGGAACAAGGAACUCAUGGUCCAGCCAGUAGGAGAUGAUGGAUGACAAAGGGAACGCAAACUUUCUCUUUUUCUUUGACUGAUUCCCUGCCAUCCACCUUAGUGAUAACAGCUGUUCAGUGAGCAGGUACAGUGCGUGACACACUUACCCUUCAUGAUCUUAUGUUUUCGUCACAACAAUGAGAAAAGGUAAGUCCUAUCUAUGUUGCUGUUUAUAGGUGAAGAAGCUGAAACCCAGAGAAGUAGAAUAAUGAGCCUAGGUUUACCUAACUAGUUAGUGGCAGAGUGGGGUUCAAGUCUAGGACUAUCUUUCGAACCCACAUUAUUGCUCCUCUUCUUGAUGAGGAAGCUGUCCAGAAAUUAGCAAAAUCUAAGUUAGGAAUGUGAAGUAUAAACAGGGAUGAUGUAAUUAUUGCAAAUGCGUUCAAGUCUGCCGAUGAGGACAAAUUACGUCCUAGAAUUUCAAGAAAGCUUACUAACCAAGAUAUUGUGAAAUAGAAGACAAAUGCCAAAAGCCUGAAAGGCAAUGUCGUUUUGGAUUUACAUAAUCUGGAAGAUGAUUCAAUAAACCUCAGAUAUCCUGUAAUUACAACAGCAGUACGGUAUCUACUAGUUAGACGUAACUAUCAAGCUCUUCAAAUAUGGCCAAUGCAAAUGAGGAACUACUUUUUUAAUUGAAUUGGGAUGAGAUGUCCUAUAAUUGUGAAAUGCAUUCUGAUUUUAUAAACUUCGUAUAAAAAGGAAUGUAAAAUAUUAUUUUUAUAUGGAUUAUAUGUUAACAUGAUAUUUU